rnacentral:lncRNA from 1 species
AAGGCAUUGUGGCUUCCCAAAUAUCAGGGACCCAGGCCCCUCUGAUCUUAUGUCUCCACCAUCCUCAAGAUGCCACAUCCAUCUCAUGAUUUAAGAUGACUGCUUUAGCUCCAGCAUCACAACUGUAUUCCAGCUGGCAGAAAAGAAGAAAAAGGGCUCAUUCUUUCCUUCUACACUUAUAUGAUUCAAAGGACAUGAAGAAGACUGUCAUUCCUUCAAAGUUUUCUCCAGGACAAAUGCACAAUUUUUCUCCAUUAAAAGAUCCUGGGAAGAUCUAUUUAUUGGCUGUAAUGCGACAGUAAUUUAUUUAUGCUUAAACUUAAUCAGAUAUAUGAGUGAAUGAUCUUUGUUACAAAAGCAAAUUGCUACUCUAAACACAAAAUAUUUCUUUAUGGUUUGAU